rnacentral:misc_RNA from 1 species
GAUGAAGAACGUAGCGAAAUGCGAUAAGUAGUGUGAAUUGCAGAAUUCAGUGAAUCAUCGAAUCUUUGAACGCACAUUGCGCCCCUUGGUAUUCCAUGGGGCAUGCCUGUUCGAGCGUCAUUUGUACCUUCAAGCUUUGCUUGGUGUUGGGUGUUUGUCUCGCCUUUGCGUGUAGACUCGCCUUAAAAUAAUUGGCAGCCGGCGUAUUGAUUUCGGAGCGCAGUACAUCUCGCGCUUUGCACUCAUAACGACAGCGUCCAAAAGUACAUUUUACACUCUUGACCUCGGAUCAGGUAGGAAUACCCGCUGAACUUAAGCAUAUCAAUAAGCGGAGGA